rnacentral:rRNA from 1 species
CGGUAGAGAGAAGCUUGCUUCUCUUGAGAGCGGCGGACGGGUGAGUAAUGCCUAGGAAUCUGCCUAGUGGUGGGGGAUAACGUUCGGAAACGGACGCUAAUACCGCAUACGUCCUACGGGAGAAAGCGGGGGAUCUUCGGACCUCGCGCCAUUAGAUGAGCCUAGGUCGGAUUAGCUAGUUGGUGAGGUAAUGGCUCACCAAGGCGACGAUCCGUAACUGGUCUGAGAGGAUGAUCAGUCACACUGGAACUGAGACACGGUCCAGACUCCUACGGGAGGCAGCAGUGGGGAAUAUUGGACAAUGGGCGAAAGCCUGAUCCAGCCAUGCCGCGUGUGUGAAGAAGGUCUUCGGAUUGUAAAGCACUUUAAGUUGGGAGGAAGGGUAGUAACCUAAUACGUUGCUACUUUGACGUUACCGACAGAAUAAGCACCGGCUAACUUCGUGCCAGCAGCCGCGGUAAUACGAAGGGUGCAAGCGUUAAUCGGAAUUACUGGGCGUAAAGCGCGCGUAGGUGGUUCAGUAAGUUGGAAGUGAAAUCCCCGGGCUCAACCUGGGAACUGCUUUCAAAACUGCUGAGCUAGAGUACGGUAGAGGGUGGU